rnacentral:sRNA from 1 species
AUGUAUCCUUCGUACACUGCAAUUUCUCCGUACCGUCCGCACCCACCUGGCACUGCUCGCUACGUUUUGUUAGCC